AAACAGCAACAUGGGGAACUGCAUGUGACAGAAGAGUCGUGGCUUAUCAGACUAGCACAAGCACUUACUUACAUUAAUGUUCUUUAGGAAAGACCUGUUCUACUUUCUUAGAAGACCAGAACUAUGUGAUGAAUAGAACUUCCUAUUCCAGAAGGAAGAUGAGGCUGCAUCCAGAUUGAAAAGCUCUCAGUGACAAUGAGGAUGUCAGCAUCAUCCCUUCCUGAGCAUGCAGGAAGGAACUGGCCAACAGUGCUUCUUCCUGAUGCCCUGUAGAGUGCAGAGAAGCAGAAGAAGGAUGCUCACAAGAAGACCAAUGAUUAAAUAUCUGGCUCAUAAUCACAGACAGACACCAGGAUCCUUCACAAAAGACCGGCCAUGUUACCAGUCCAGACAGUCAUCGGAGCAGAGGAACUGCUCCCUGCUAUGCAUCUCUGAGGGCAAGGGAGUGCCAGAACCAGGAAUCACACUCUUCCUGCAAAUAUAUGCAGUCCAUGAGUACAGGUUGUCCUACCUUAAUGGAUGGGAAGCUCAAACUGAACUUGCAUCUAGUGGGGUUGCAGGUCAGUGCACAGCUGCCUUGGAGCAAACAUUAGCUGGAGCUGAGCCAAUAGUUAAUGCCUUCGAGAUCACAACCAAGGAAACAGGAAAAUGAGUUUCUGAAAGCAGGAUUUGCUGAAGUCCAUGGGCCACUAGUUUAGCAGAUUUUCUAUCUUGGGUCCCAGACUGGGUAAGAUAGUGUACAUCCAUUGUGAUGAGGGCCUAUAUAGACAUUCAAAAUACAAAAAAAUGAAAUUGAAUUAUUUCACUGAGGCCUUUGACUAGGGAGGCUCCAUGUAUUUGUAAGGGGAAUUAUUUAAUCUUCCAUCCAAAAAAGAAAUGAUCUCUUAUGGCAUGUCUGAUAAUUUAGAGUCUUCUUGGCUUUUUAAAUUAUGCUACUGUAUGUAGCUGAAAAUUGUUUGAUAAGCAUCACUAAGUGGUCUGGCUUUAAACCAAGCCUGUCAUCUAGUGGAGUGCUAUGCUAUUCCAACUUUAAUCUAGAUAACUGGCACACAUAAAAUAAGGAAACACAAAUAUGACACAGCUGCAGCUAGUCUGGCGGAGCUAAAAUGCUUAACAGUGUUUUAUGCCUGUAAUAUAAGGCUGCUUACUAAUGGAAGAAUCCUAAAAGAGUGACAAUCAGAUUGCCUUUGAUACAACUGGUUAUAAAAAUGUUGGAGAUUUAGUAUUUAUGGUGCCUGCAGGUUACAAUAAAAUGCUUAUGUUAUGACUUUACUAGACA
rnacentral:lncRNA from 1 species